rnacentral:sRNA from 1 species
CUAGAUCUGGUGUUAGUUUCUAGUUUGUGCGAUCGAAUUUGUCGAUUAAUCUGAGUUUUUCUGAUUAACAGAUGCAGAUCUUUGUUAAGACUCUCACCGGAAAGACAAUCACCCUCGAGGUGGAAAGCUCCGACACCAUCGACAACGUUAAGGCCAAGAUCCAGGAUAAGGAGGGCAUUCCUCCGGAUCAGCAGAGGCUUAUUUUCGCCGGCAAGCAGCUAGAGGAUGGCCGUACGUUGGCUGAUUACAAUAUCCAGAAGGAAUCCACCCUCCACUUGGUCCUCAGGCUCCGUGGUGGUAUGCAGAUUUUCGUUAAAACCCUAACGGGAAAGACGAUUACUCUUGAGGUGGAGAGUUCUGACACCAUCGACAACGUCAAGGCCAAGAUCCAAGACAAAGAGGGUAUUCCUCCGGACCAGCAGAGGCUGAUCUUCGCCGGAAAGCAGUUGGAGGAUGGCAGAACUCUUGCUGACUACAAUAUCCAGAAGGAGUCCACCCUUCAUCUUGUUCUCAGGCUCCGUGGUGGUAUGCAGAUUUUCGUUAAGACGUUGACUGGGAAAACUAUCACUUUGGAGGUGGAGAGUUCUGACACCAUUGAUAACGUGAAAGCCAAGAUCCAAGACAAAGAGGGUAUUCCUCCGGACCAGCAGAGAUUGAUCUUCGCCGGAAAACAACUUGAAGAUGGCAGAACUUUGGCCGACUACAACAUUCAGAAGGAGUCCACACUCCACUUGGUCUUGCGUCUGCGUGGAGGUAUGCAGAUCUUCGUGAAGACUCUCACCGGAAAGACCAUCACUUUGGAGGUGGAGAGUUCUGACACCAUUGAUAACGUGAAAGCCAAGAUCCAGGACAAAGAGGGUAUCCCACCGGACCAGCAGAGAUUGAUCUUCGCCGGAAAGCAACUUGAAGAUGGAAGAACUUUGGCUGACUACAACAUUCAGAAGGAGUCCACACUUCACUUGGUCUUGCGUCUGCGUGGAGGUAUGCAGAUCUUCGUGAAGACUCUCACCGGAAAGACUAUCACUUUGGAGGUAGAGAGCUCUGACACCAUUGACAACGUGAAGGCCAAGAUCCAGGAUAAGGAAGGAAUCCCUCCGGACCAGCAGAGGUUGAUCUUUGCCGGAAAACAAUUGGAGGAUGGUCGUACUUUGGCGGAUUACAACAUCCAGAAGGAGUCGACCCUUCACUUGGUGUUGCGUCUGCGUGGAGGUAUGCAGAUCUUCGUCAAGACUUUGACCGGAAAGACCAUCACCCUUGAAGUGGAAAGCUCCGACACCAUUGACAACGUCAAGGCCAAGAUCCAGGACAAGGAAGGUAUUCCUCCGGACCAGCAGCGUCUCAUCUUCGCUGGAAAGCAGCUUGAGGAUGGACGUACUUUGGCCGACUACAACAUCCAGAAGGAGUCUACUCUUCACUUGGUCCUGCGUCUUCGUGGUGGUUUCUAAAUCUCGUCUCUGUUAUGCUUAAGAAGUUCAAUGUUUCGUUUCAUGUAAAACUUUGGUGGUUUGUGUUUUGGGGCCUUGUAUAAUCCCUGAUGAAUAAGUGUUCUACUAUGUUUCCGUUCCUGUUAUCUCUUUCUUUCUAAUGACAAGUCGAACUUCUUCUUUAUCAUCGCUUCGUUUUUAUUAUCUGUGCUUCUUUUGUUUAAUACGCCUGCAAAGUGACUCGACUCUGUUUAGUGC